rnacentral:rRNA from 1 species
UGGGGAAUUUUGGACAAUGGGCGCAAGCCUGAUCCAGCCAUGCCGCGUGCGGGAAGAAGGCCUUCGGGUUGUAAACUGCUUUUGUACGGAACGAAAAGACUCUGGUUAAUACCUGGGGUCCAUGACGGUACCGUAAGAAUAAGCACCGGCUAACUACGUGCCAGCAGCCGCGGUAAUACGUAGGGUGCGAGCGUUAAUCGGAAUUACUGGGCGUAAAGCGUGCGCAGGCGGUUAUAUAAGACAGAUGUGAAAUCCCCGGGCUCAACCUGGGAACUGCAUUUGUGACUGUAUAGCUAGAGUACGGCAGAGGGGGAUGGAAUUCCGCGUGUAGCAGUGAAAUGCGUAGAUAUGCGGAGGAACACCGAUGGCGAAGGCAAUCCCCUGGACCUGUACUGACGCUCAUGCACGAAAGCGUGGGGAGCAAACAGGAUUAGAUACCCAAGUAGUCCCUGAGCGGGCUGGCAAGGCGCAU